UACGUAGGGGGCUAGCGUUGUCCGGAAUCAUUGGGCGUAAAGCGCGUGUAGGCGGUCCGAUAAGUCCGCUGUGAAAGUCGGGGGCUCAACCCUCGGAUGCCGGUGGAUACUGUCAGGCUUGAGUACGGAAGAGGCGAGUGGAAUUCCUGGUGUAGCGGUGAAAUGCGCAGAUAUCAGGAGGAACACCAAUUGCGAAGGCAGCUCGCUGGGACGUUACUGACGCUGAGACGCGAAAGCGUGGGGAGCAAACAGG
rnacentral:rRNA from 1 species